GGUCCUGUUGAUGUCACCGAUGAUGCUG
rnacentral:piRNA from 1 species